AUCCCUGUGGCUCAGUUGGUAGAGCAUGGUGUUUGCAACGCCAGCAUGGUGUGUGCAACGCCAGGGUUGUGGGUUCGAUUCCCACGGGGGGCU
rnacentral:tRNA from 1 species